AGAGGAAUUGCCAAGUGGUAAGGCACAGGGUUUUGACCCCUGCAUGCACCGGUUCGAUUCCGGUUUUCUCUGCCA
rnacentral:tRNA from 1 species